rnacentral:rRNA from 1 species
UAGGGAAUCUUCCGCAAUGGACGCAAGUCUGACGGAGCAACGCCGCGUGAGUGAAGAAGGAUUUCGGUUCGUAAAACUCUGUUGUUAGAGAAGAACAGCGCAUAGAGUAACUGUUAUGCGUGUGACGGUAUCUAACCAGAAAGCCACGGCUAACUACGUGCCAGCAGCCGCGGUAAUACGUAGGUGGCAAGCGUUGUCCGGAUUUAUUGGGCGUAAAGCGAGCGCAGGCGGUCAAUUAAGUCUGAUGUGAAAGCCCCCGGCUCAACCGGGGAGGGUCAUUGGAAACUGGUUGACUUGAGUGCAGAAGAGGAGAGUGGAAUUCCGUGUGUAGCGGUGAAAUGCGUAGAUAUAUGGAGGAACACCAGUGGCGAAGGCGACUCUCUGGUCUGUAACUGACGCUGAGGCUCGAAAGCGUGGGUAGCAAACAGG